UUCUUGUUAUUCCUUUCCAUUAUAUCUAUCAUUCUUUGCCCCAUCAAAGUCAUCAGUUCAAGGGGAAAUAAAGUACGCCAAUCCAGUGACUCUAAAAUUUGAUAUUUAUCUUCUUUUUCAGUGUUGAAGGGUUUCUAACAUCAUGUAUAUAGUCUCUCGUAUGUACUAUGAAGUGUAGACAUCGGAUUGGGACCCACGAACGUGGAUGGAGCACAAUGUCAAUGCUAAAAACUUUUCUACUGUAUACUGUCCGAUGAACUCAAUGUAUACUUUCUCCGAAACCAAAUCCUCUCUCAGACUCUCAUCAAUGUCACAGAAUCCAAUUACAUUUGCGAGUGCUUCAAAGUCGGCACCUAUAUCCCAUCAUGAACAAGAAGAAAUACUUAAUAAAUCAUACAAAGGCUGACAAUUACCAAGUCCGCAAAUUUUAGGAAUGGAGUCACUGGUUAUCAUGAUCUUCCAGGGUGUGAGACUUCCGUGGCAUAACCUGUUCUGGUGGAGAUAAUUAAGUCCCUUUGUAACCCCCCUGUAAAUAAAACAUAAAACAAAUUAGUACCUUUUAUAUAUUAUAAUCAAUAAAGUCUAAUAAAUGAAAUCUACCUCAGUAUUUUUAUUAUGGCGGUCUCACUGAUGUUCUCUUUGAUGCGUAGACAAUCAGGUAGAAUAUUAUGAUGAAUCUCGAAGGCAAAAUCCACCUCUCCAGUUUUGUUAACUUCUGCACCGAAGAAUCUAGAGAUAUUUUCGUGCAAACUCGUUCUCACCAAAUUACGGAAAGGAAUCUGACAAUUUUUAAGAAGGAAGAAAAGAGUGAGGAUGUCCUGUGCAGAUUAAUAAAGGAGAAUGUAAGGUAUAAGAUGAUGUCUUUAAAAGUAAAAAAUUCUAAGAAUGUGAAUAUUGAACUGGAAGAUGGAGUUUGAGUUGGAAGAAUAACAAUUUGGUAGCUGUC